rnacentral:rRNA from 1 species
UACGUAGGGUGCAAGCGUUGUCCGGAAUUAUUGGGCGUAAAGAGCUCGUAGGCGGUCUGUCGCGUCUGCUGUGAAAACCUAGGGCUUAACUCUGGGCGUGCAGUGGGUACGGGCAGGCUAGAGUGCGGUAGGGGAGACUGGAAUUCCUGGUGUAGCGGUGAAAUGCGCAGAUAUCAGGAGGAACACCGGUGGCGAAGGCGGGUCUCUGGGCCGUAACUGACGCUGAGGAGCGAAAGCCAGGGGAGCGAACAGG